AAGUCGAACGGCAGCACGGGAGCAAUCCUGGUGGCGAGUGGCGAACGGGUGAGUAAUAUAUCGGAACGUGCCCAGUCGUGGGGGAUAACGUAGCGAAAGCUACGCUAAUACCGCAUACGAUCUACGGAUGAAAGCGGGGGACUCGCAAGAGCCUCGCGCGAUUGGAGCGGCCGAUAUCAGAUUAGGUUGUUGGUGAGGUAAAAGCUCACCAAGCCUGCGAUCUGUAGCUGGUCUGAGAGGACGACCAGCCACACUGGAACUGAGACACGGUCCAGACUCCUACGGGAGGCAGCAGUGGGGAAUUUUGGACAAUGGACGAAAGUCUGAUCCAGCAAUGCCGCGUGCAGGACGAAGGCCUUCGGGUUGUAAACUGCUUUUGUACGGAACGAAACGGUCUGCUUUAAUACAGCGGGCUAAUGACGGUACCGUAAGAAUAAGCACCGGCUAACUACGUGCCAGCAGCCGCGGUAAUACGUAGGGUGCGAGCGUUAAUCGGAAUUACUGGGCGUAAAGCGUGCGCAGGCGGUUAUAUAAGUCAGAUGUGAAAUCCCCGGGCUCAACCUGGGACCUGCAUUUGAGACUGUAUAGCUAGAGUACGGUAGAGGGGGAUGGAAUUCCGCGUGUAGCAGUGAAAUGCGUAGAUAUGCGGAGGAACACCGAUGGCGAAGGCAAUCCCCUGGACCUGUACUGACGCUCAUGC
rnacentral:rRNA from 1 species